ensembl:lncRNA
UGUUCUGAUUGUUUACAUUAAAAUGUAAAACUUGAUGAUAAAGUAUGAUAAGUUGAAAAAAGUGACAUUUGAAGGUCAGAAAGUGACUUUUCAUCAAAAGUACCAUAACAAAACUUGUUUCCAUUCAUCCUAUGUGUCCAUGCACACUUGUGCUCUUUAUCCGCUCAAAACGCUAUACAGCGCUUCAGAAGGCGCUAGGAGCAAAGGAAAGUGGUUUUUCUAACAAACUCAUGUAAUCAAUUGCCCGACGUACUCCAAUUUGAUUUUUUUCACAUAGUUAGACAUAAUAUAGUACUAUGAAAUGUUUCUGACCUAAAAUAAUACGAAAUAUGAUUGUUUACAUUAAAAUGUAAAACUUGAUGAUAAAGUAUGAUAAGUUGAAAAAAGUGACAUUUGAAGGUCAGAAAGUCACUUUUCAUCAAAAGUACCAUAACAAAACUUGUUUCCAUUCAUCCUGUGUGUCCAUGCACACUUGUGCUCUUUAUCCGCUCAAAACGCUAUACAGCGCUUCAGAAGGCGCUAGGAGCAAAGGAAAGUGGUUUUUCUAACAAACUCGUAAUCAAUUGCCCGACGUACUCCAAUUUGAUUUUUUUUACAUAGGUAGACAUAAUAUAGUACUAUGAAAUGUUUCUGACCUAAAAUAAUACGAAAUAUGAUUGUUUACAUUAAAAUGUAAAACUUGAUGAUAACGUAUGAUAAGUUGAAAAAAGUGACAUUUGAAGGUCAGAAAGUCACUUUUCAUCAAAAGUACCAUAACAAAACUUGUUUCCAUUCAUCCUGUGUGUCCAUGCACACUUGUGCUCUUUAUCCGCUCAAAACGCUAUACAGCGCUUCAGAAGGCGCUAGGAGCAAAGGAAGUGGUUAAGUGGUUUUUCUAACAAACUCAUGUAAUCAAUUGCCCGACGUACUCCAAUUUGAUUUUUUUUUACAUAGUUAGACAUAAUAUAGUACUAUGAAAUGUUUCUGACCCUAAAAUAAUACGAAAUAUGAUUGUUUACAUUAAAAUGUAAAACUUGAUGAUAACGUAUGAUAAGUUGAAAAAAGUGACAUUUGAAGGUCAGAAAUUCACUUUUCAUCAAAAGUACCAUAACAAAACUUGUUUCCAUUCAUCCUAUGUGUCCAUGCACACUUGUGCUCUUUAUCCGCUCAAAACGCUAUACAGCGCUUCGAGAAGGCGCUAGGAGCAAAGGAAAGUGGUUUUUCUAACAAACUCAUGUAAUCAAUUGCCCGACGUACUCCAAUUUGAUUUUUUUCACAUAGUUAGACAUAAUAUACUACUAUGAAAUGUUUCUGACCUAAAAUAAUACGAAAUAUGAUUGUUUACAUUAAAAUGUAAAACUUGAUGAUAAAGUAUGAUAAGUUGAAAAAAGUGACAUUUGAAGGUCAGAAAUUCACUUUUCAUCAAAAGUACCAUAACAAAACUUGUUUCCAUUCAUCCUAUGUGUCCAUGCACACUUGUGCUCUUUAUCCGCUCAAAACGCUAUACAGCGAACGAGAAGGCGCUAGGAGCAAAGGAAAGUGGUUUUUCUAACAAACUCAUGUAAUCAAGUGCCCGACGUACUCCAAUUUGAUUUUUUUCACAUAGUUAGACAUAAUAUAGUACUAUGAAAUGUUUCUGACCUAAAAUAAUACGAAAUAUGAUUGUUUACAUUAAAAUGUAAAACUUGAUGAUAACGUAUGAUAAGUUGAAAAAAGUGACAUUUGAAGGUCAGAAAUUCACUUUUCAUCAAAAGUACCAUAACAAAACUUGUUUCCAUUCAUCCUAUGUGUCCAUGCACACUUGUGCUCUUUAUCCGCUCAAAACGCUAUACAGCGAACGAGAAGGCGCUAGGAGCAAAGGAAAGUGGUUUUUCUAACAAACUCAUGUAAUCAAGUGCCCGACGUACUCCAAUUUGAUUUUUUUCACAUAGUUAGACAUAAUAUAGUACUAUGAAAUGUUUCUGACCUAAAAUAAUACGAAAUAUGAUUGUUUACAUUAAAAUGUAAAACUUGAUGAUAAAGUAUGAUAAGUUGAAAAAAGUGACAUUUGAAGUGUAGAAAGUAACUUUUCAUCAAAAGUACCAUAACAAAACUUGUUCCCAUUCAUCCUGUGUGUCCAUACACACUGGUGCUCUUUAUACGUUGAAAACGCGAUACAGCACUUUAGAAGGCGCCAGGAGCAAAGGAAAGGGGUUUUUCUAACAAACUCAUAUAAAAAUUGCCCGACAUACUCCAAUAUGGUAUUUUUCACAUAGUUAGACAUAAUAUAGUACUAUGAAAUGUUUCUGACGUGAAAUAAUACGAAAUAUGAUUGUUUACAUUAAAAUGUCAAACUUGAUGAUAAUGUAUGAUAAGGUGAAAAAAGUGACAUUUGAAGUGUAGAAAGUCACUUUUCAUCAAAUGUGCCUUAAUAAAA